ACGUGGCGGCGCGGUCGCUGGAGGUUGAAGAAGCUCGAUCGCCUUCUCCAGUACGCCGAGAGGUAACCCCCUCGUUCGCAUCUCUCCCGGCCUGUGAAUGAUUAGUCCAAUCAGAUCGGAGUAGAUUCGAGGAGAAACGAUCUCUUCUCUAGCAAACGCAACUACUUUUCGGUGCAUACUAGAUAUGUAAACAAGAAUUUCUUUCUGAUUUGUUAGAAAAAGAUCAUGCUAUUUUGAGUAUUUCAUGCUGUUGCAAGUGAUUGUAAUAAUUUUUUUUUUGUAUUGCUACCGGCCGCUGCAGGCGCCAAAACGAAGUUCUCAUUUCUUUCAACAUAUUCCACAAGGAUUCAUCAGCCUUAUGGCAAACCUGGCUGGUAUCGGAUUAUAUGCCAUCGCUCCGCUUGUGUUGGUGGCUGUGAAGAAAUUGCCGUAUAUUAGCAAAUGUACUGGUAUGCACUUUGCAGCCUCCUUGACUUGCUUCCAGAGGAAAGCACAGCUUUGGUGGAGAUUUGUUUUGUUAAGAACAACCUGCUUCUCAUUUUGCAUUGAUUCUCUGAAUGAAGCCUGCUCAUGGUUUUGCAGACUGUGGAUACUUUCUUCUGUGACAAUUCCUACGGAGUAGUGGGGGUGAAGCGACGGUGUCAGGAGGCCACUGAACCAAGAGUUUAUUUAUAGCUGAAGAGAAGUAGGAUCCUGUCAAGUGCCUUCCAUGACUGGGCGAGGGGACAAUACCAUGAGUUCAGAACAUGCAAUUUGCAAGCAGAUCAAAGGCAACGUGAUGGGGAUCAGAUAUUGAUAUGGCGCCAAUUGUUUGGUCCAUGCUGGGUGCAUCACAAGGCACUACCAGUGCCACAUUGGUGGAUUAGUAGCAUGAGGAUCCCAUGCAAACUGGGUUCAACAUGUGAGGACCAGUUCUGUUGCUAUCGUGCAAUGAGAUGUUGGCAGACACGCCUUCUGAUUGCCACUGGGAAAGCUAGCCAGAAUGGUUCAGACGUUCGGUGUUCAAUGGUCUUAUUUUAGCAGGUGAUAAGCUGACUUGAUUGGGUUUGUGAUUGUGCUUAAUGUGUGUUCUUAAUUUUUAUUAUUAAGGUUGAAAAGAGACUGAGUUAGUUGAUGUAAGGAACACAACUUGAUGAACAAUGUUGUAUCUUAGUUCUGUUGAUGAGCAUUGCAUGUGGCAUCCAUUUCUUAGUGCGUUGACCAGCUGCAAACCAUGGUUUGUGAAUUUAGCUGCUAACUGAAGGUACGAAUAAUAGACAUGUACUUAAUGCAGUACUGACACACUUCUCAUUGAGCAUUUUCUGGCCUGCUGCCUGCUGUACAGUUUAAUUGGUUCAUGCGCGUUCAAAUUUUAGGUAACAGUUAAACAUCAGUUACUUGUUUCUACUAAAGAGACCUGCUGUAUACUGCUAAAUAAAACCUGGUUUCUCUUACAUUACCUUUUUUAACUAGUCUGGUAUUUCUUACCCCGAUGACCUUCUCAAGUUAUAUCCCGAGGGAUCAUCACUGCAUACUGAUUGUGCCACACAGUCAUUUCACUUUCUUACAGUUUCUAUAAUAUUUUUGAAGGACUUACUUAGUGCUAGAUUGUACAGAGGUAGAGAGAUUAAUUAUUGUAUUCAAUUUAAAUUUAAGUAAAACAAUGACAGCUAGUGCUGAAUUGCUGAUUGCCCCUGCUUGGUUGCUUGCAUGAUAAAAAAGCUUUACAUAACAAUUUCCUUUUCCUAUUGCCUAUUAUCUAACUCUCUUACACUAUCCAGGUAUAAACUACAACAAGCAGAAGACAACAUUAGGGGCACGCAUGUUUUUCAGCGGUUACGAACAGCAAUUUUUCUGGCUGUCUCCAAC
rnacentral:lncRNA from 1 species